GCAAAGUUAAAAAAUGUCAACGCAAGAGCAAAACGGCGCGACACUUCUGUGUACAAACUACAAGAUUAAAUGGCAGUAGAAGAAGGAGCCACAGUGAGCAGUUGAAGAGCGACAUGGGCUUAUUGCAGUUUGGGUGAACUAGAAUCUGCAACAUGUCAUCCAGCGAGUGAGGCAGUACAGCGUCAUCCAGCCGUGAAGUCAUUUGGCGGUGAAGAGGAAGAGACGGCCAGCUGAAGGUGCAGUUGUGGUCGCAAGAAGUGAGGAAAAAGUGAGGACCAGUCUCGUCACACAGCCCACCACAACAACCUGACAGUGCUUCAUUUCCUCAUUGUUAUUGAUCCUCGAGGUCAGCCUCAGCGGUCCGGAGGUGCAGGAAAGGAGACUCCAUUGUGCCAGUUUAAACCCACGCUGACCUGCCCAUCUGAGAUUUUAGGUUGCGUUUCCAUGGUUUUCUGUGGAGGCCUUGAUGAACGCCCAUAGGGUGUAUUAGUGGGAGCUCUGGCUGCACAGCAGAGCCACAAGUAGGUGAAAUGCAAACAGAGCUUGCGGGUUGUCAGAAAAAAGACCUUAGAGUACAAACCAUUAGUUCAUUUGCUGACUCGACCUCCACAGCAGACUAAAUGAUGGGUUUGACUAGUGUUCAGAAAGUGUGAGGAGAUGAGGGUUAUUUGCUGUGUGAAUGAGAAAUACUGGGACACUGGUAAAACAAUGGAGAUCCACGACACGAUUGGGAUAACAUUGAUUUCACAUCGCUUGUUGGCAACGUGGUUAUAAAUA